rnacentral:misc_RNA from 1 species
GAUGAAGAACGUAGCGAAAUGCGAUACGUAAUGUGAAUUGCAGAAUUCAGUGAAUCAUCGAGUCUUUGAACGCACAUUGCGCCCCCUGGUAUUCCGGGGACAUGCCUGUCCGAGCGUCAUUGCUGCCCUCAAGCACGGCUUGUGUGUUGGGCCUCCGUCCUCCUCCCGGGGGACGGGCCCGAAAGGCAGCGGCGGCACCGCGUCCGGUCCUCGAGCGUAUGGGGCUUCGUCACCCGCUCUUGUAGGCCCGGCCGGCGCUUGCCGACACAUCAAUCUUUUUUCCAGGUUGACCUCGGAUCAGGUAGGGAUACCCGCUGAACUUAAGCAUAUCAAUAAGCGGAGGA